GAUGAAGAACGCAGCGAAAUGCGAUACGUAAUGUGAAUUGCAGAAUUCAGUGAAUCAUCGAGUCUUUGAACGCACAUUGCGCCCCCUGGUAUUCCGGGGGGCAUGCCUGUCCGAGCGUCAUUGCUGCCCUCAAGCACGGCUUGUGUGUUGGGCCUCCGUCCUCCUCCCGGGGGACGGGCCCGAAAGGCAGCGGCGGCACCGCGUCCGGUCCUCGAGCGUAUGGGGCUUCGUCACCCGCUCUUGUAGGCCCGGUCGGCGCUUGCCGACACAUCAAUCUUUUUUCCAGGUUGACCUCGGAUCAGGUAGGGAUACCCGCUGAACUUAAGCAUAUCAAUAAGCGGAGGG
rnacentral:misc_RNA from 1 species